rnacentral:lncRNA from 1 species
CUGUAAGUCAGUUACUUGAAAUAAGUUAGUUUUCCCUUUGUCUUUCAGUCUCUGUUUGGGGAAUCUCUCAUUCCUACAACUCUUUACCUCUUCUAAACAGAGAGGAAAGCUGGCCCUGACUCCUUGAUGCCCUCAUGAUAUAUGCCUUUGAUAGACUGGGCAGUCCCAUUCCAGGAAGAGAUGAUUAACAGUAUGGUCUAAUAAUCAACGAGGUCUUUCUGGUGCUGGAGACCAGCAAAGACCCAGAGCUUAUACAUACAUUCUAGGCAAGCACUCCACCCACUGAACUGUAGGCCAGCUCCUUCCCAGGUAGGAGAUGUUCAUGUAAAUGAAGGUGGGAGAGGAAAGGCUCUUUGAAAAAGAAAGUGGGGGUGGGCAGGGUUAUGCCAUCUGCCCUUAGUAUCUACUUAUGCUCCUACUAUGUUCCUUACUGUUCUAUAUUUUUUUUUCAUGUGGGAUCUUGCCAUCCUGACCCUAUCCCCAGUUCCCUGAAAACUUUGGCUCCUGUUUCCACUUCUUUCAUCAUUGUGAAUGACUUCAGCUUCUAACAACAGCUGGCCUUCUAAUGCCUCAGCCACUUGUUCCCUUACUUCCUGACAUCUAAUGACCAUUUUAUGCUUCACAGUCCCAAGUUUUAUCUCAGUCCUUGUUAUCAUCAGUAACUUUCCAGCUCCAAAGCUUCCAUUUCAAAAUCUACUUAUUUUACACGCCCUCUGUCUUAUUCUUCCAGCUCACUUGCUCUAACAUCCCUCUGCUAUAGUCCUUGGACCAGAAAGACCCACUGUUUUAUCCAUUGUGCUCUCACUAUCCGUUCAUGCCUCCUAGUCUUAGCUGUACAUUUCCCCUGUCGCCUGGGAUUGUGUAUCAUUCCACUGUCUUUAACAAUACUGACAUCAUAGCAGAUGUUUUUUACUAGGUGGAGAAGCAAGCAUCCUGCUCACCACUUGAACCCAUGGAUUCUUAUCAGUUGGUGAUGUGGUACCUUUGAAGGAAUGUAGAUACAAUUUCUCAGCAGGGCAUGGUAAAGAUCUUGGAUUUAGGAUAGGAAAUGGGAGAGCCAAGCAGAAGACAAGAAGAAAGGGGCGAGGGGAGAGAGAUUCAACAAAAUGGUAAAGAUCAACACAGAG